CCAACCUGGUUGAUCCUGCCAGUAGUCAUAUGCUUGUUUCAAGGAUUAAGCCAUGCAAGCCUAAGAGUAACUGAGACUACAGGAGGUCUGCGAACGGCUCAUUAUAUCAGAAAUUAUCUACCGGGAAAAUUGCAGUGAAAACUGCUUCAAUGGAUAACUUAGCGAAACGCUAAGCUAAUACAUGUACGGCACGU
rnacentral:rRNA from 1 species